UGAAUCGUUAGAUUUACAUGA
rnacentral:piRNA from 1 species